UAUCAGUAUCCUGAGUAGGGCGGGACACGUGAAAUCCCGUUUGAAUCCGCGAGGACCAUCUCGCAAGGCUAAAUACUAACCAGUGACCGAUAGUGAACCAGUACCGUGAGGGAAAGGUGAAAAGAACCCCGGGAGGGGAGUGAAAGAGAACCUGAAACCGUGUGCCUACAAGUAGUCAGAGCCCGUUAACGGGUAAUGGCGUGCCUUUUGUAGAAUGAACCGGCGAGUUGCGUUAGUCAGCAAGGUUAAGUCAGAAAAGACGGAGCCGUAGCGAAAGCGAGUCUGAAGAGGGCGAGCAGUUGGCUGACGCAGACCCGAAACCAAGUGACCUACCCAUGACCAGGUUGAAGGC
rnacentral:rRNA from 1 species